AAUCUUAGGUCCAUUUGGCGUGCUUUUUGAACUAAUUCACCAUCUUGACAUUCAUAACAUUGGAUCAGGUCAUGUAUCCAGUGAUUGAACUUUCACACUUCUUGAGAUGUUGCCGUUUAUCUUACAUUGGCUUGAUAACAGGGUCUGCUAUUGACAUGAUGACCAGCACCAUAACUGUUGGUAGUCAAACCAACUGUUGCUCAUAAUGCUGAGGAGGAUUUAAUGCUGUAAAGAAUGAAAUUCGGGUUCGUCAAACCAGAAGGUGGCAAGCAAUUGGCAUCCUAAGGCAUGUUUUGUUCAGCUACUGUACCUUGGAGAUUAAAGAAACAUGCCAUUGACUUCUUGCUUUGCACCACAGAAGGAGAUAUCUCACAGGAGAGUGAGAGUGAAACUCUAGAUUUCUCAUCAUUUGUUCCUAGCCAUUUUGCUGCCUUGCAGUGCAAAAUCUUGGGAUUGACAACGUCAUCAUGUACACAUCGGAUGAUGUGCUAAGGAAGAAAGCUUUUGAUGUACUGGAAAGGGUUAGUGUUUU